UACGGGGGGGGCAAGCGUUGUUCGGAAUUACUGGGCGUAAAGGGCUCGUAGGGGGCCAACUAAGUCAGACGUGAAAUCCCCAGGCUUAACCUGGGAACUGCGUCUGAUACUGGAUGGCUUGAAUCCGGGAGAGGGAUGCAGAAUUCCAGGUGUAGCGGUGAAAUGCGUAGAUAUCUGGAGGAAUACCGGUGGCGAAGGCGGCAUCCUGGACCGGCAUUGACGCUGAUGAGCGAAAGCUAGGGGAGCAAACGGG
rnacentral:rRNA from 1 species